AAGGAAUAUUGGGCAAUGGGCGCAAGCCUGACCCAGCCAUCCCGCGUGCAGGAUGACGGCCCUAUGGGUUGUAAACUGCUUUUGUUUGAGAAGAACUAAGUACAUUAAUGUGCUUUUGACGGUAUCUUACGAAUAAGCACCGGCUAACUCCGUGCCAGCAGCCGCGGUAAUACGGAGGGUGCAAGCGUUAUCCGGAAUCACUGGGUUUAAAGGGUGCGUAGGCGGCAUGAUAAGUCAGAGGUGAAAGCUUGCGGCUCAACCGUAAAAUUGCCUUUGAUACUGUUAUGCUUGAAUCAGGUUGAGGUAGGCAGAAUGUGGCAUGUAGCGGUGAAAUGCAUAGAUAUGCCAUAGAAUACCAAUUGCGAAGGCAGCCUGCUGGACCUGUAUUGACGCUGAGGCACGAAAGCGUGGGGAUCAAAC
rnacentral:rRNA from 1 species